rnacentral:rRNA from 1 species
AGCGGCAAAAGCUCAAAUUUGAAAUCCCCCCGGGGAGUUGUAAUUUGAAGAUUGCGUCUUGGAGGCGACCGUGUCUAUGUUCCUUGGAACAGGACGUCACAGAGGGUGAGAAUCCCGUGCGGCACGGCCCCCGGCUCCUUAUAAGGCGCUCUCGACGAGUCGAGUUGUUUGGGAAUGCAGCUCAAAGUGGGUGGUAAAUUCCAUCUAAAGCUAAAUACAGGCGAGAGACCGAUAGCGAACAAGUACAGUGAUGGAAAGAUGAAAAGCACUUUGAAAAGAGAGUGAAACAGCACGUGAAAUUGUUGAAAGGGAAGGGCAUGCCGUCAGAUUGUCAGUGUGGGUAAGAAGCGGGGUACAAAGACUGUGGAACGUGGCCCUCGGGUGUUAUAGCCGCAGUUCAUGCCCCGUCUCUUUCCGAGGCCUGCUUUGAGGACACCGACGUAAUGACGGUACGCCGCCCGUCUUGAA